rnacentral:rRNA from 1 species
UACGGGGGGGGCAAGCGUUGUUCGGAAUUACUGGGCGUAAAGGGCUCGUAGGCGGCCAACUAAGUCAGACGUGAAAUCCCUCGGCUUAACCGGGGAACUGCGUCUGAUACUGGAUGGCUAGAGGUUGGGAGAGGGAUGCGGAAUUCCAGGUGUAGCGGUAGAAAUGCGUAGAUAUCUGGAGGAACACCGGUGGCGAAGGCGGCAUCCUGGACCGGUAUUGACGCUGAGGAGCGAAAGCCAGGGAGCAAAGCGGG